AUCGGUGGGAGAUGAAUAGCAAACUAAAGAGCAAACCGGGGGCCUUGCACGACAUCAACGCCUGAUAGAAGGCCCCAAGCAAAAAACAACCAAGGAAUCAAACCGGACUAUUAGUUCUGGGCACGAAAUAGAUGAGGCACAAUGCCAAGGUAGCUAGAAGCCACAGCGAAGGAGAAGCCAUAAAAACCACCCAUAAACACCAA
rnacentral:misc_RNA from 1 species